rnacentral:rRNA from 1 species
GAUGAACGCUGGCGGCGUGCUUAACACAUGCAAGUCGAGCGAGAAGUUUUGAAAAGAUUCUUCGGAUGAAAUUUAAAAUGGAAAGCGGCGGACGGGUGAGUAACGCGUAGGCAACCUGCCCCAUACAAAGGGAUAGCAUUUGGAAACGAAUAUUAAUACCUUAUGAAACUUACCUAGUGCAUGCUAGGUAGGUCAAAGAUUUAUCGGUAUGGGAUGGGCCUGCGUCUGAUUAGCUAGUUGGUGAGGUAACGGCUCACCAAGGCGACGAUCAGUAGCCGACCUGAGAGGGUGAACGGCCACAUUGGAACUGAGACACGGUCCAAACUCCUACGGGAGGCAGCAGUGGGGAAUAUUGCACAAUGGGGGAAACCCUGAUGCAGCAACGCCGCGUGAAAGAUGAAGGCCUUUGGGUCGUAAAGUUCUGUUCUAGGUGAUGAAAACUGACAGUAACCUAGGAGAAAGCCCCGGCUAACUCCGUG